rnacentral:rRNA from 1 species
CAACAGCUGGAAACGGCUGCUAAUACCGAAUACGUUCCGGAAGUCGCAUGACUAUCGGAAGAAAAGGAUGGCCUCUAUUUUUUAGCUAUCGCCGGAGGAGGGGUUUGCGUCUGAUUAGCUAGUUGGAGGGGUAACGGCCCACCAAGGCGACGAUCAGUAGCCGGUCUGAGAGGAUGAACGGCCACAUUGGAACUGAGACACGGUCCAGACUCCUACGGGAGGCAGCAGUGGGGAAUCUUCCGCAAUGGCGAAAAGCUGACGGAGCAACGCCGCGUGAGUGAAGACGGCUUCGGGUUGUAAAGCUCUGUUAUACGGGACGAAUAAUCUUGUGGUUAAUACCCAUAAGAAAUGACGUACCUAAGAGAAACCACG